rnacentral:miRNA from 1 species
CAAACACACGCCGCGUGUGUGUGUGUGUGUAUGUAUCUAUAUAUAUAUAUAUAUAGAUACAUACACACACACACACAUGUAUCUAUAUAUAUAUAUAUAUAGAUACAUACACACACACACACAUACACUGCUGUGUGUGCUGU